rnacentral:rRNA from 1 species
ACGGGAGGCAGCAGUGGGGGAUAUUGCACAAUGGGGGAAACCCUGAUGCAGCGACGCCGCGUGAGUGAUGAAGUAUUUCGGUAUGUAAAGCUCUAUCAGCAGGGAAGAAAAUGACGGUACCUGACUAAGAAGCACCGGCUAAAUACGUGCCAGCAGCCGCGGUAAUACGUAUGGUGCAAGCGUUAUCCGGAUUUACUGGGUGUAAAGGGAGCGUAGACGGAUGGCUAAGUCUGAUGUGAAAGGUGAGGGCCCAACCCUUAAACUGCAUUGGAAACUGGUCAUCUAGAGUGUCGGAGAGGUAAGUGGAAUUCCUAGUGUAGCGGUGAAAUGCGUAGAUAUUAGGAGGAACACCAGUGGCGAAGGCGGCUUACUGGACGAUAACUGACGUUGAGGCUCGAAAGCGUGGGGAGCAAACAGGAUUAGAUACCCUGGUA